rnacentral:rRNA from 1 species
UACAGAGGGGGCAAGCGUUAUUCGGAAUUAUUGGGCGUAAAGGGCGCGUAGGCGGCUUUGCAAGUCAGGGGUGAAAUCCCUCGGCUUAACCGAGGAACUGCCUGUGAAACUGCAUGGCUUGAGUCCGGGAGAGGUGAGUGGAAUUCCCAGUGUAGCGGUGAAAUGCGCAGAUAUCAGGAGGAACACCGAUGGCGAAGGCAGGUCUCUGGACCGCUACUGACGCUGAGAAGCGAAAGCGUGGGGAGCGAACAGG